UGGGCCUACGGGAGGCAGCAGUGGGGAAUAUUGCACAAUGGGCGAAAGCCUGAUGCAGCAACGCCGCGUGAAGGAAGACGGUUUUCGGAUUGUAAACUUCUAUCAAUAGGGAAGAAAGAAAUGACGGUACCUAAAUAAGAAGCCACGGCUAACUACGUGCCAGCAGCCGCGGUAAUACGUAGGGGGCAAGCGUUAUCCGGAUUUACUGGGUGUAAAGGGAGCGUAGACGGCGCGGCAAGUCUGAAGUGAAAGGCAGGGGCUUAACCCCUGAACUGCUUUGGAAACUGCCAUGCUAGAGUGCUGGG
rnacentral:rRNA from 1 species